GGGCACUUUGGACAGGCAGGGUGGUCUGGGGAGACGGGUGUGUGCAGGGCAGCCUCAGAAGCCGCCAUCAAAGGGACCUAGCAGACGUGGCGCCAGGCAAGCGCCAUAGUGGGCACGGAAGGGCUGGCGGUCAGUCUGUUCCUCUCCCAGGGAUGGCGGGGAGGGGGAGGCCCCAUGGACACAUGUGCUCAGGGUGACCAGCCAUCAGGGGUUGCCUGGGAUGAAGGGGUUUCCUGGGACGUGGAGCUUUCAGUGCUAAAACAGAGAGUCCCCUGUUAUUGGAACUUCCUGGACCUUCGGAAAGGAUACAGUGACUGACCUCUCUGGUCUGGGCAGCCUCCUCCCUGUCCGGUGACCUCUGAGUCAGACCAUCUCGGCCAGACCUGCCCAGGGCCAUUUUGUCCACCCCCUGCCUCCACACAGGCCUGCCUCAUACCCAAGAGUCCACUUUCCAUUUCUCCCAGGCAUCUUCAGGGGAGGAGCUGCCGGCCAACUCCAACCACUGCUAGGGGGACCUCGGCCAGACCCACACCACGCUCCCAGCCCUCCCUGUGGCUCCCGAGCCAGCUCAUACUUUCCUGCUUCCACACCUUUGCCCAGGACGUUCCUUCUGCCUGGAACAUCCUUUCCCUGUCUUUGUUACCUCUUUACCCUUAGGGACCCAGUUUCCAAGUCACUCCUCCAGAGGACUUGUUCUCUCUUUCCCAAGGCUGGGCUAGUACCCCUCUUUGAACUCACAGCCCUGGUUCUUCUCCCAAAAAACCUUUGUCACGCCCCAGGGCAAUUUUCUGUUGACCCAUCUUUUUCUACACCAGAUGGUGAGCUCUUAGGAUGGAGAUCCUGACCCAGUUUCCCCCGGGCUCCCAGUACAAGGCCAUGCUCAUGGUGUUCAUCAAAUGGAAAAUGCUUAUUGAGCAACUACUCUGUGCCAGGCAUCAUGCUCCUUUAAUUCUCUCCAUAGCUCUGCAAGGUUGGUGUAACCCCUACAGAUGAGGAAACCAGAGACAGAGAAGUGAAGUAACUCAUGCAGGUGACGGCAGAGGGCAGAGUCAGGACUUGAACCUGGAGAGCCUGGCUCUAAAGCCCAAGCUGGAAUCUCGAUACUCUACACCUCGAUAAGUUUUUGGGAAAUGACUGACUAAACAGAUGAACGCGUUUGCCCCCCCGCCGCCCCAGAGCCCCCUUAAAGCCUACAUGUGGCAGUUUGGGCCCAUUUCCUUGGCUUCCCUCCCUGGAGGGGCACCCACUGCCAGUGUCCCUGCUGAAAUUUAGCAUCAUAUUCCAUGGCGAUUUUCCACCAGUGGAAAUCACAGGUGUUCUCUGGUAUCACAGCGGGGUCAGGGAUGACCUGAAAUAUUGUUCAUGCUCAUCACAACUGCAUGGCCCACCGCGGGGUCUUGUCACUCAGUGAGUUCUUGAAGAGGCACAGACAAAUGGAGUUCAACAAAUGGAAAACAACUGCCUUUAAUUAGCUCCGAGGACUACAAAGGGAACAACGUUAUAAUAGCAGCAACUCCAAGGAAGCAGCCACAGCUCUCAGCUCUCAGACCUGGGGCUGCCGCUCAUCAUCAGCUACAGCUAGGUUUGAUGGGAGUGCCCCCAUUUCAGGGGACAGCAGGCCCCCUUCACUCCCCGACUCAGUCCCCAUCUGCAGCAGCACAGCCUUCCUUGGCCUCACCAGGGAAGAAGAACAGGCCCCGCUCUCAGACAAGCCUUCCCAGAAGCCUGAGGACUCAAACACCCAAAUGUGUCUGGGUCCCUGCCCCGAGCCGGCCACCCAGGCAGCAGCCCUGAAUCACUCGGUCAGCCAGCGGCAGGGCAGGCCAAUGGGCUGGAGGGUAGGCAGGCAGGCAGACCCACCUCUGCAUCUCUGCUGACUGCCUCGGCUGAGGAAAGGCAGCACCAGCCCCCAACCCUGAAGUUCUAGAUCUCAUGCAGCCUCUCUGUUCUGGAACCAUCCAGAGGCACUGCCCUUAUACAUGGUCCACCCCCAGGCUCAGACAAUGAGAAUUCCACAAGCAGAGGGGACUCUAUUUGGGGCACAGAGAGGUUAAGUAACUCCCCUCCUAAGGUCUCUCAGCAAGGAAGCCACUGAGCCGUGGGACUUGAGCUCAGGGACUCUUGAUCCCCAGUCUCAGGUGUCACAGCCCCAUCUGGGCUCCUGCUAGGGAGGAGGAAGGCAGCAGGGGGUGUCUGAGGCCAGGGUGCAUCAGCCCUAAAUGCCAGACAGAGGCAGGAGAAGUCUCCCCAUGAGUCCCAGCCCCAUUAGAGGCUCCAGGUCGGGGAUCCCAGACCCCCUAUCCUUGCUGGGAGACACAACCCAGAACUCUGCAUCCCUGCAGCCACCAAAAAAGGCAAAAGCUGCCCAGAAACACUUUCUCCUCUUCCGUGGCCAAAUCCACGAACUUUCUCGAGGUCUGUCCCCCUGCCCCGUGCAGGUCCAGCUUCAGUGCAGCCCAGCUCUGUGCAGUUUUCCACAAAAGCCUGUGGCUUCCUUCUCCUCCCUCUGCUUCUGAUACCCCAGGAGUUACACACAAAAUGUUGGCGGUGGUCUCCAGGAAGACCCCUGCAUCCCACAGCUCUCCCCAGAAGUUGCCAGCAGUGACCUCCUGAGCCCAGGUGGGGAGUCCCAGGCAGGACAGGGGCUGGGGCUGCAGGCCCUGGGGCCCUGUUAGUGAAGCAGCAAGCCGAGGGUCCCUGAGAGUUUCCCUUGGCCCCUCUGAGGGCUGCCCUUUGAGGUCUUGAGGUCUUGGAGUAUCCAUCGCCCCCACGGCUUACUGUCCCCACCAGCGGAGGAUGAAAGUGCCACAGCGAUGUUCCACGCCAAGAGACCACAGAGACCACCAACCCCUCUUCCCACCUCAGGCUUUCAGAGGCCAGCGGAUUUAGGCGGACAGGCUGUGCGCUUGAGGGCAGCCAGGGCGGUCAGUGGAGGGACGUGGUCCGGGGCCUGGCCACAGCUCCCCACCCAGGGCCCUGGGCUAUUGUUACUCACCGCGGAUGAAGGUCGGCGAGUAGGUCGGGAAGGAGUCGAAGAUGCUGUUCGAUGCCAUGCCCCGCUCUGAAGAAGGCCAGGCUGCGAGGCCCAGGGUGGUGACGC
rnacentral:lncRNA from 10 species